UGAGCAAGCUGUUUAACAACUCUGGGACACUUUUCCUCCUCUGGAAGGUGAAGGUUAUUCGUUGAACCAAUAAUCUCUGAAAUUUUUGGAGUUCCAUGAAGCUUGCACCAACUAUUAUCCCUGAGAUGACCUUGGCUGUGGAACCCAGAUUCUGUUCAGGGCCGAGAGCGCCACCUGGUGAUUCCAGUUUACGGAGGCUGGUGGGACCUCAACCCCAGCUGGUAUCCAGGCUCUUGACACCAUCUGGAGAAGGAAUUCAAGAGUGUGUCAGAAAAUGAUGAAAGUACAAAGAUUUAUUGCAAAGCGAAAAAUACACACUCAAGAAAGGGGAGUAUGGGUGGACUCAAGACAGAGUCCGAUGGGACUUGGGGUUUCUACCUUUUGGGUUUCUUUUUUUUUUUUUUUUGAUAUGGAGUCUCGCACUGUUGCCCAGGCUGGAGCGCAGUGGCGUGAUUUUGGCUCACUGCAACCUCUGCCUCCCGGGUUAAAACGAUUCUCCUGCCUCAGCGUCCCAAGUAGCUGGGAUUACAGGCUCCCACCACCAUGCCCGGCUAAUUUUUGUAUUUUUAGUAGAGACGAGGCCUCACCAUAUUGGCCAGGCUGUUCUCGAACUCCGGACCUUAGGUGAUCUGCCUGCCUCAGCCUCCCAAAGUGCUGGGAUUACAGGCGUGAGCCACCAUGCCCAAUGGGUGUGGGAUUUAGUAUAUUAAUGAGUGUAUAAUGAGGUCCUUGGUGAAACCUACAUCAAAUCCAGCACCGUGUUGGGUCCAGUCUGUCUUAGCCAGCUUGGUCCACACCCUGGUUUUUUAGGGUCUUAUUGGCCCCUUACUUCUGCAGCAAAAGUUUCCUUUUGCUAGUCAUGUGAAACUGCCACCUGGAAUUUUCUAUUCUCUAGUGACCACCCUGUAUUAUUCCUGUCUCACUGGGACCCUAAGAAAUUGGGAAUUCC
rnacentral:lncRNA from 1 species